rnacentral:lncRNA from 1 species
AUCACUUAACCUGCACAGCUGUCGUGUUUCAUUUCUAUUACCAUAUUCAAUUUCUAACAAUAUUGUCCCCUUAGCUAACUCAUUAGUAUAGUAGUUCCGCUUUCCACCAAGUUCUAGUAAGACAUUUCAGCAAAGAAGUCAGUCUAAGCUACUAAAGCCAUUUUUAAGCUAAGAAAUUAGUGUAGGAAUGUAAAACUAAUCACUUGCUUCAAUGUGGAAAUUGAAUUAUUCAACAAAUAAAAUGCCAGAGGCCACAAGAGCUGAAGCUAUAUCUAAAUUCUUUGGCUAGUUUCUAAAAAUUUAGCAGUAGUCAAAAGAACUUUAGCACCUUCAUAUAGGCUCGAUAUCUGAAUGGAUAUAGAUAUUUCCAGAAGAAAUAUUCUAUGACCUUACUUAUUUUUCAGAUUUAAUCAUUCUUACAUUUCGUAAGAAGUUACUUUAUAAUUUUAUUUAAAUAAACUUGUCUUUGCUUUUACAGUGACAUUCAUGACAUCUCAAGGGUUAUAUUCUAUUUUUUUAAUGUACAUCAUAAUGGACAUAUAAUUAUCAAAAUAAUAUGUUCAGUAGUAAAUUAAUGUUCAUUUUAGCAGUAAAACUGGAACAUACAAUGCAUAAGUUAGAAAAUUAAGGCUAGAGGCCGAGCACUGUUGCUUGUUCCUGUAAUCCCAGCACUCUGGGAGCCAAAGUGGGAGGAUCACCUGAGGCUAGCAGUUUGAGACCAGCCUGGCCAACAUGGCAAAACCCCGUCUCUACUAAAAAUAAAAAAAUUAGCCAGUUGUGGUGGUGCACACCUGUAAUCCUAGCUACUUGUGGGGCUAAGGCAGGAGAAUCGCUUGAACCAGGAGGUGGAGGUUGCAGUGAGCCGAGAUCACACCACUGCACUCCAUCCAGCCUGGGCAACAGAGUGAGACCCUGUCUCAAAAAAAAUAAAAAUAAAAAUUGUGUGUGUGUGUGGCGU